rnacentral:rRNA from 1 species
GUGGGGAAUCUUGCGCAAUGGGCGAAAGCCUGACGCAGCCAUGCCGCGUGAAUGAUGAAGGUCUUAGGUUUGUAAAAUUCUUUCACCGGGGACGAUAAUGACGGUACCCGGAGAAGAAGCCCCGGCUAACUUCGUGCCAGCAGCCGCGGUAAUACGAAGGGGGCUAGCGUUGCUCGGAAUUACUGGGCGUAAAGGGCGCGUAGGCGGAUCGUUAAGUCAGAGGUGAAAUCCCAGGGCUCAACCCUGGAACUGCCUUUGAUACUGGCGAUCUUGAGUAUGAGAGAGGUAUGUGGAACUCCGAGUGUAGAGGUGAAAUUCGUAGAUAUUCGGAAGAACACCAGUGCGAAGGUGACAUACUGGCUCAUUACUGACGCUGAGGCGCGAAAGCGUGGGGAGCAAACAGGAUUAGAUACCCUAGUAGUCC